rnacentral:rRNA from 1 species
UGCUGUGAGCUCGAUGAGUAAGGCGGGACACGUGGUAUCCUGUCUGAAUAUGGGGGGACCAUCCUCCAAGGCUAAAUACUCCUGACUGACCGAUAGUGAACCAGUACCGUGAGGGAAAGGCGAAAAGAACCCCGGCGAGGGGAGUGAAACAGAACCUGAAACCGUGUACGUACAAGCAGUGGGAGCCUUCUUUAUGGGGGUGACUGCGUACCUUUUGUAUAAUGGGUCAGCGACUUAUAUUCUGUAGCAAGGUUAACCGUAUAGGGGAGCCGCAGGGAAACCGAGUCUUAACUGGGCGUUAAGUUGCAGGGUAUAGACCCGAAACCCGGUGAUCUAGCCAUGGGCAGGUUGAAGGUUGGGUAACACUAACUGGAGGACCGAACCGACUAAUGUUGAAAAAUUAGCGGAUGACCUGUGGCUGGGGGUGAAAGGCCAAUCAAACCGGGAGAUAGCUGGUUCUCCCCGAAAGCUAUUUAGGUAGCGCCUCGUGAACUCAUCUUCGGGGGUAGAGCACUGUUUCGGCUAGGGGGCCAUCCCGGCUUACCAACCCGAUGCAAACUGCGAAUACCGAAGAAUGUUAUCACGGGAGACACACGGCGGGUGCUAACGUCCGUCGUGAAGAGGGAAACAACCCAGACCGCCAGCUAAGGUCCCAAAGUCAUGGUUAAGUGGGAAACGAUGUGGGAAGGCACAGACAGCCAGGAUGUUGGCUUAGAAGCAGCCAUCAUUUAAAGAAAGCGUAAUAGCUCACUGGUCGAGUCGGCCUGCGCGGAAGAUGUAACGGGGCUAAACCAUGCACCGAAGCUGCGGCAGCGAC